rnacentral:rRNA from 1 species
UAAACCCACUCUGCGUACCUCUCCUGUUGCUUCCGCUGGGCCUGGAGCAUUUUCAGAUGAGUUGUCUCCCGCACAGUCAAUUUGCUGCGUGGGGUUGGUAACUCUCAAGUGACUGCUCUGGAUUCACAUGCCCAGCGGGAGGAUACUUAWUUUCUGGAUUUACCAUUCCAUCUGUCUGAACAAUGAACCAAAAAAAAAUGUUAAAACUUUCAGCAACGGAUCUCUUGGUUCUCGCAUCGAUGAAGAACGCAGCGAAAUGCGAUAAGUAGUGUGAAUUGCAUAAUUCAGUGAAUCAUCGAAUCUUUGAACGCACAUUGCGCCUUUCGGCAUUCCGGAGGGCAUGCCUGUUCGAGAGUCAUUAACAACCAGUUCAAUCCCCCUCUUUGAAAAUAUUUGGGGGAUUGGUUAUUGGUGAAUGAGGGGAWGCGUGCAUCACGUUGAAUCACCUCACCACCGAAAUUCAGAGGCGGUUUGUCCCCACGUGUUUGUGGCGUUGUAAAGGCUUACCAGCACUAUUCGCUCGCAUCG